rnacentral:piRNA from 1 species
UGCCAAUGUCUUGAAUCCAGGAUGGCGCC